UAGUAGUUUCCGGGACAGGCCUCCUGGAAGGGUCCUUGUUGGUGGAGGGUGGACGGCGGACGGCGGCGAAGCGGGGCGAAGCGCGGUCCUGUCCUCGGUGUACACUCGGCGCCUCCAUGGACAGCGGGGGGCGGCCCUCGUUGGGCCAGUUUAUCCUCCUGGGCACCAGCUCCGUCGUCACGGCCGUCCUGUACUCCGUGUACCGGCAGAAGGCCCAGGUCGCGAAAGAGCUCAAGGGAGCUAAGAAAAUCCAGUUGGGUGAAGAUUUAAAGAGUAUUCUUUCAGAAGCACCUGGAAAAUGUGUACCUUAUGCUGUUAUUGAAGGAGCUGUGCGAUCUGUUAAGGAAACACUCAACAGCCAGUUUGUGGAGAACUGCAAGGGGGUGAUUCAGCGGCUGACACUUCAGGAGCACAAGAUGGUGUGGAAUCGAACAACCCACCUUUGGAAUGACUACUCAAAAAUCAUCCACCAGAGGACCAAUACGGCGCCUUUUGAUCUGGUGCCUCAUGAAGAUGGUGUGGAUGUGGCUGUCCGAGUGCUGAAGCCCCUGGAGUCAGUGAAUUUGGGCCUAGAGACUGUGUACGAGAAGUUCCACCCCUCGGUCCAGUCCUUCACGGAUGUCAUUGGCCACUACAUCAGUGGUGAGAGGCCCAAAGGUAUCCAGGAGACCGAGGAGAUGCUGAAGGUGGGGGCCACCCUCACUGGGGUUGGAGAACUGGUCCUGGACAACAACUCCGUCCGCCUGCAGCCCCCCAAACAAGGCAUGCAGUACUAUCUGAGCAGCCAGGACUUUGACAGCCUGCUGCAGAGGCAGGAGUCGAGUGUGAGGCUCUGGAAGGUCCUGGCCCUGGUGUUUGGCUUUGCCACGUGUGCCACCCUCUUCUUUAUCCUCCGGAGGCAGUACUUGCAGUGGCAGGAGCGCCUGCGCCUAGAGCAGAUGGAGGAGGAGUUCCGGGAGCGUGAGGCCCAGCUGCUGAGCCAAGCCUCACCAGAGGACAGGGAGAGUCUCAAGAGUGCCUGUGUCGUGUGUCUGAGCAACUUCAAAUCCUGUGUCUUUCUGGAGUGUGGUCACGUGUGUUCCUGCCACGAGUGCUACCGUGCCUUGCCAGAGCCCAAGAGGUGCCCCAUCUGCCGGCGGAAGAUCACCCGGGUGGUUCCCCUGUACAACAGCUAACAGCCUUGCAUCCACACAGCUGGACCAAGAAGCAGCCUCGCCCUCCUCAGGGAGUUUGUCCUGAGGCCUGUGGAGGAGCCGCAGUGGGGACAGCUGUACCUCCAGGUGUGAACUGAGUGAGGGCGUUGCCUUUCUGGCCCAGAACAGGUGCGAGAGCCCCACUCUUCAUGGAGACCAUGGCCGACAUCUCUUCCUGAGAAGCAGAUUGAUGUGUGGGAGACCAGAAGGACCCCGUCGCCUGAGCACCAGAGAUCGCUGUGGCUCUGGCAGGAAAGGCUGGGCCCUGAGGGUGCUGCAGAGCUGCCUGUGGGGAUGCUCCUCUGUAGCUUUUCUUCUUUUGCUUCCACCCAAGGAAAACGUCUUCCUUCAGAAUUGUCAGGUUGGGCGAGUCACUUGUGUCCCUUUCUCCUCAACUGUUGCCCUCCUAAAUGUGUGCACGUGUGUAAGAGGACAAAGGCAGUGAAGUCAGCCCCUCCUCCUCUGCUCAAACAGGUGCAGAACCCACAGAUUUGGAGGACCAACUCUAUUACCAUAAACAGCAUUUUACAAGCCAAUCAGCACCUCAAGAACCACCAACACAUCCCCAGCAGAUCCUGUGGAGUGGGGGCUGGAAGGCUGCCUUUGGAAUCCUAAUUUAUUUAGAUUUCUACUGGAAAAUUUAGAAUGCAGAUCAUCAGGACUAAGUAGGCCCAUCUAAGAUGCCCUUUACAAGCCUGAUCUUAGGCAGUAAAGAGGCCAACUGAGCAGUGGACCCGACACUGGCAACCUUACAAGGUCUCUGCCUGAGGGAAGGACCGCUUGGGUCUGGUCCGGACUCUGCCAUCUGUGGGUACUGAUUCAUCUCGCAAAUGCCUGGAGAUGUGAAAUGAACACAACACAGUCCCUGACCUCAAAGGGCUCAGCUUUAUGUUUCAGUGCAUUCUAAUUGUUGGACAAGGAGUACACCCUAUUUGUCAGGGACAGGGACUUAGUUGUUUGAAAUAUCACGUUCUGUGGUUUACAGAAUAUUAUAGCUGGAUGUUUUCUAUCUUAGUCUGUUUACUGCUGCUAUAACAGAAAACCUGAGGCUGGGUAAUUUAUAACAUUGGCCUGCUGGGAAGUCCGGGAGCGAAGUGCCAGCAUCUGAGCAGGGCCUUGCUGCAUCACAGCACAGUGCAGAGCGUCACACGGUGAGGAAGUGCUUGAGAGACCUCAGAAAUCCAGCCAGACUCGUCCCGUUAUGAGGAGCCCACUCCCCUACAGGCUUCCACCCUGCUGUGAUGACAAUUACACGGCAGCAUGGGUUUGGGAAGGGAGAUUGGCCUGAUCUCGGACUACUAGAAAUAAACCAACCCAGUGCAGCAGUUACUGUGGAGGGGAGGCCAAGCAGAGGAAACCUAACCCUUGGAGUCAAGAAUGAUCGUAGACCACCAACCUGACUAUGUCCCUCUUCUGUGUAAAGCCCAUCCCGAGCUCCCUGUCACCUGCAGGACAUGGCCUGGCUCUCUGUGGCAUGUGAAGCCCAGUGUGACCCAGCCUAGCCACCUCUUCCAACUUGCUGGCUCCCUGUCUCAAUCUUGGUUCCAGUGACACUAAACUGGUCUGGUUUUGUUAGGAUAGGGUCUCACUAUGUAGUUCAGGCUGGCCUUGAACUCAGUAUAUAUCCUAGGCUGGCCUCAAACAUGACGAUCAUCCUGCCUCAGCCUCCCAAAUGUUGGAAUCACAGGUGUGGGACACCAUGCCCAGUUGACACUGAACUGUUCAAUUUCCUUAAACAUGCCGCACUGUCCUCUGCUUUGGCUUGUGCUGAUCCUGCCUCGAUCACCCUCAUCAGUCUGUCCCCACUUGGCUACCAGCUACUCUCCUGUAAACUCAGCUUCUGGGACCCUCUGGCUUUGCGUCUCAGGCAUCCCUCGCCUGAGAUUCCAAAGUACAUUCUCCUGCCUCCAUUCUGCUCUAAGCCAUGUUGUUAGGUCUCAGGCAGGGGCUGUGUCAUUUUGUUUCUAGGGACCCUAAAGAGAGCUGCACACGCUGAUGCCCUCUCAUCCUCACCCACAGGUAUUUAUAUUAUUCUUACUUUUAAUAAAAGGAACUGAAUCCCAGAGAGGUUGAGUAUCUUGCCCAAAUGCAUGAGAGGGAAAGGGUUAAAACCGAGGCAGUUGGACUCGAGCCCAAGCUCUUAGCCACUGAAUGUCUGUGGAAUGAGUGAGUAAAGCAAUGAAAGAAAAAAUAUAUAGAAGGAAGCUUCCGAGGAGUCUGGUUCCAGCCCGCUGAGGGGAGCCAUGACCUAGUUGGGGGCAGGGGACCGAGAAGUGGGGAUGAGCUGUGUGGGGAUGACGUCGUGGCGAGCAACCUGUCCAAGCUCUGACCACACAGGGAAGUCUGGGCGGUGCCGUUGGUGGAGACAAACGGUCUAGGGUGGGAGCCCGAAGACCGGCUUUCUGUCCAGGGCUCCACUCAGCUCAUUAUUUUGCACAUCCACAAGAUGGAGAGCGUGGUGAGGGACCGGAAGAGCAUUUAGAGCCCUUCCUGUGGGGUUGCAGGACCGAGAGAGGAGGUGCGCCCACAGCCUUCUGCGAAGAGCUGGGGAGCUCAGCACAUUUCCUUUCUAAUUAGCGGUAACUUAUCAAUUUUGAAUGAGAUAAGUUUCCAUGCACGACGUCCUGAAUUGCUCCCCAGAGUGCUCAUUAGUCACUUCCCCACAGCUGCCUUAUUGUUUUCCAGAUGCCAGCCGAGGGGCUUGGAUUUUCCCUCUCCUGAGCCAGGGCAGAUGAGGCCGAGCCGAUGACGUGAGGGGAGAGGCUCCACAUCUUUUGCCCUUUGCCCGGCCGGAGCUAUCGAGUCACCUUAGGGCUCUCAAAGGCAGAUUCCUCUGCCGUUGGGCCAGGACUCUGGCGGUCCACAGUUGAACCAAACAAACAUUUAUUAGCAUUUACUGUGCUGGGCGCCUGACAUCUGUAACCUGGAUGCUCC